rnacentral:rRNA from 1 species
UACAGAGGGGGCUAGCGUUGUUCGGAAUUACUGGGCGUAAAGGGCGCGUAGGUGGCCUGUUAAGUCGAACGUGAAAUCCCCGGGCUCAACCCGGGAACUGCGUCCGAGACUGGCAGGCUCGAAUCCGGGAGAGGGAUGUGGAAUUCCAGGUGUAGCGGUGAAAUGCGUAGAUAUCUGGAGGAACACCGGUGGCGAAGGCGGCAUCCUGGACCGGUAUUGACGCUGAGGCGCGAAAGCUAGGGGAGCGAAUGGG